rnacentral:rRNA from 1 species
UAACAAGGAUUCCCCUAGUAACUGCGAGUGAAGCGGGAAGAGCUCAAAUUUAAAAUCUGGCGGUCUCUGGUCGUCCGAGUUGUAACCUGAAGGGGCGUUUUCCGCGCCGGACCGUGUACAAGUCUCCUGGAACGGAGCGUCAUAGAGGGUGAGAAUCCCGUCCAUGACACGGACGCCCGGUGCUUUGUGAUACGCUCUCGAAGAGUCGCGUUGUUUGGGAAUGCAGCGCAAAAUGGGUGGUAAAUUCCAUCUAAAGCUAAAUAUUGGCGAGAGACCGAUAGCGAACAAGUACCGUGAGGGAAAGAUGAAAAGCACUUUGGAAAGAGAGUUAAACAGUACGUGAAAUUGUUGAAAGGGAAACGCUUGAAGUCAGUCGCGUCUUGUGGAACUCAGCCUGGCUUCGACCUGGUGUACUUUUCACUCGACGGGUCAACAUCAAUUUUGACCGGUGGACAAGGGCGGGGGGAAUGUAGCGUUGUUUCGACGACGUGUUAUAGCCCCUCGUCGCAUACACCGAUCGGGAUUGAGGACCGCAGCGCGCCCUUGUGGCCGGGGGUUCGCCCCACGUACCGCGCUUAGGAUGUUGGCAUAAUGGCUUUAAGCGACCCGUCUUGAAACACGGACCAAGGAGUCUACAUGCUUGCGAGUGUUCGGGUGGAAAACCCUUGCGCGUAAUGAAAGUGAAAGUUGGGAGCCUCCGCGAGGGGGUGCACCGACGCCCGGCCCUGACGUUCUCUGACGGUGCUGCGGUAGAGCAAGUAUGUUGGGACCCGAAAGAUGGUGAACUAUGCCUGAAUAGGGCGAAGCCAGAGGAAACUCUGGUGGAGGCUCGUAGCGAUUCUGACGUGCAAAUCGAUCGUCAAAUUUGGG